CGUGGGUAACCUGCCCAAGAGAUCGGGAUAACACCUGGAAACAGAUGCUAAUACCGGAUAACAAUAGAUGAUGCCUAUCAACUGUUUAAAAGAUGGUUCUGCUAUCACUCUUGGAUGGACCUGCGGUGCAUUAGCUAGUUGGUAGGGUAACGGCCUACCAAGGCGAUGAUGCAUAGCCGAGUUGAGAGACUGAUCGGCCACAUUGGGACUGAGACACGGCCCAAACUCCUACGGGAGGCAGCGC
rnacentral:rRNA from 1 species